rnacentral:rRNA from 1 species
GACGAACGCUGGCGGCGUGCUUAACACAUGCAAGUCGAACGCUGAAGCACCAGCUUGCUGGUGUGGAUGAGUGGCGAACGGGUAAGUAAUACGUGAGUAACCUGCCCUUGACUCUGGGAUAAGCCCGGGAAACUGGGUCUAAUACUGGAUGCUACUUGUCACCGCAUGGUGGUGUGUGGAAAGGGUUUACUGGUCUUGGAUGGGCUCACGGCCUAUCAGCUUGUUGGUGAGGUAAUGGCUCACCAAGGCGACGACGGGUAGCCGGCCUGAGAGGGUGACCGGCCACACUGGGACUGAGACACGGCCCAGACUCCUACGGGAGGCAGCAGUGGGGAAUAUUGCACAAUGGGCGAAAGCCUGAUGCAGCGACGCCGCGUGAGGGAUGACGGCCUUCGGGUUGUAAACCUCUUUCAGCAGGGAAGAAGCCACAAGUGACGGUACCUGCAGAAGAAGCGCCGGCUAACUACGUGCCAGCAGCAGCCGCAG